UGGUGGUGAAUUUGUGGAGACUUU
rnacentral:siRNA from 1 species